UGGGGUGUGGCGCAGCGGUAGCGCAGUUGACUGUUAAUCAAUUGGUCGUGGGUUCAAAUCCCUCCACCCCAGCCA
rnacentral:tRNA from 1 species